rnacentral:rRNA from 1 species
GUCCACGCUGUAAACGAUGGAUGCUCGGUGUAGGGAGGAUUCGACCCCUCUCUGUGCCCAAGUUAACACGUUAAGCAUCCCGCCUGGGGAGUACGGUCGCAAGAUUAAAACUCAAAGGAAUAGACGGGGACCCACACAAGCGGUGGAGCAUGUGGUUUAAUUCGAUACUAAACGAGGAACCUUACCAGGCUUGACAUCUCCGGAACCCUUAAGAAAUUAGGGGGUGCCGUAAGGAACCGGAUGACAGGUGCUGCAUGGUCGUCGU